AUUACAGAUGUGAGCCACUGCACCCAGCCUAUAGAUACCCAAUUUAAGCAACACUGUAUUUCCAAAUUUUGCCUGGUAAUAGCAGCAGUGAACAUUCGAGCUCAUACUGUGUGCCACAAAUGUUAUUAAGAGCUUGGCAGGCAGGUACUAUGAUGAUUCCCGGUACACAGAUGAAGAAAUUGAAGCAGGGAAGGAGGCUGGCUUGGUGCCAGUGACACAGGUGGGAUAUGAACCAGGGAAGCCUGGCUCUGGGGUCUGACUCUUUAUCAAGAUAUUCUGAUGUGGGAGGCCCAACUCGCCUGGCCCCCCUCUUUCUGCCAAUCUCUUCCCUUAGAAUGAGUUUCCUGAGCUCAGUGGACAGGAGGAUUCACUUAUGCCCCUUGCUCUGUAUGGCAGAGGCAGCACGAAGGAGGUCUGCCCUGGCUUUCUGGGAACAGAAGGCAGCACUGGCGGUGGUCCAAGAGGCCACAUCAGUACCCGGACUCUCCCACCUGCACUGCUUCUUGUGCUGAACAUCCUUCCCCAUCAACUGCUCAUAGUGACCUUUCCAACAGACUGGGGAGGUUCUCUUCAGCCUCACGUAACAGUAAA
rnacentral:lncRNA from 1 species